rnacentral:rRNA from 1 species
GUUUUCAGCCAUACCACCCUGGAUUUCAUCUGAUCUCAGAAGCUAAGCAGGGUUAGGCUUGGUUAGUACUUGGAUGGGAAUGUCUAUAAAUCAUUUUUGCACUGGAUAUG